GACGAACGCUGGCGGCGUGCUUAACACAUGCAAGUCGAACGGAAAGGCCCUGCUUUUGUGGGUUGCUCGAGUGGCGAACGGGUGAGUAACACGUGAGUAACCUGCCCUUGACUUUGGGAUAACUUCAGGAAACUGGGGCUAAUACCGGAUAGGAGCUCCUGCUGCAUGGUGGGGGUUGGAAAGUUUCGGCGGUUGGGGAUGGACUCGCGGCUUAUCAGCUUGUUGGUGGGGUAGUGGCUUACCAAGGCUUUGACGGGUAGCCGGCCUGAGAGGGUGACCGGCCACAUUGGGACUGAGAUACGGCCCAGACUCCUACGGGAGGCAGCAGUGGGGAAUAUUGCACAAUGGGCGGAAGCCUGAUGCAGCAACGCCGCGUGCGGGAUGACGGCCUCGGGUUGUAAACCGCUUUCGCCUGUGACGAAGCGUGAGUGACGGUAAUGGGUAAAGAAGCACCGGCUAACUACGUG
rnacentral:rRNA from 1 species